UUGCGGGGCGUGCGGGGCUGGACGCCGUCCGGCCGGGCCGGCAGCCAGCGGGCGCGGGCUGUGCGGGCGAGGGUUCGCGUGGGCCGGGCGGAGGCUGGAACGGGGACCCCCGAGCGCGAGCCGCGGAGCCCGCGGGCUGGGCCGCAGGGGCCGGGCGGGCGGCGGCGGCGCAGUGCCCGACCGUCUGCGGCGCGCGGCAGAGCGAGGUCCCGGGAGGGACGUGGGCCUGAAGGGAGCUUGUGCCGUAGGCCCAGAGCCGGCUCCUCGGGCCCAGUGGCCUCGUGAGGCGGAGAGGAGGGACCCCAGGAGAGGAGCGCGCCGGAGGAGCAGCCGCCGGUCCGGAGUCUCGGGAGCCCGGGGCUGGUCCGCGAGUCCCGACGGGGUCCGCCUCCACUGUCACAGUCCUGCACGUUGUUCCAAGAGCAGCGGAAAAUGAAUCAGUCUCCGGCAGAAUCAUUUAUACGAGACCACUAGAAAGGAGAUGAUUUGACAAAAUUAUUAAACAUUUAACUGAACGGAAUGUACUGGGUGACACUGAAUUUGGGCUGAGCCUUUGUGGCUCCUCCAGGGCCUGGCCCCUGAGCUGAAGGUCAUGAGCUGCAUCCAGAUGGCCUUGCGAGCACGCUGCUCUCUGCCUCGGAUUUCCUUUCCUGCAGAUGUGGAGCUUGUAUCUCAGAUCCUGAUUCUCCCGACGGAGGUCUUCAUUGUCUCCUUACUGUCUACGAACUUCCUGAACUCUCUUCCCUCUGAAGAAACAAUAAUUUCCUCUCCACCUUUUCCAGAUGAACUCCUUAGUGGAUGCACCCCAAGACCCACAUUUCUGGGACUCUCUUUCACAAGUUAAAGCAUCCAAUAUCACAGCAGAAACUCAGUGACAAGAUCUUUUUUUUUUUUUAAGUUACGAAAGUGAAAACUCAGGGUAAGUGUUUUCAUCUGCACUGUCCUUUGCUGAGCUGUGGCAUCUCCCCAUCUUUUCGGUGUUGAGCUAGAAAACUAGAAGGGAAGUCCACUCUGUCACUCACUCACUUUCUCACUCACCACACACCCCUUAGACUUCUUUACAUUUGCUAGACAAAAAGAGGUCACUGGUACUUUAACUUCCUAAUUCUGCUAGAAUUCAACAGAGGGCUCAGGAGAUAAAUGAAAAGGCUGCUUAACUAGGAGAUCAAAGUGUGUGCGGGCCACGCUAAUUUCCCCUCACAUGUCCAUGGAGGAUUAACUCAGAGGUUAUGAGAUUUUAGCGAUAACACGAGCACAAGCAAAAACCCUCCAGAAAGACAAGGAGUUACUUAGUAUUCAUUGCCAAGGGUGAGUGUUUAGUAUCUACAAUACUCAAAGAAAAUUCAAGAGUGAUUUUAAAUUCUGUUUCAAACAUCUCCUCUAUUUUCUCUCCUUUCCUCUAAGACAUCUCUGAAUAAGAGCUUCCCUCCAACUGCCAGGGAAAAAUAGUAAGCCUGAUCUCACGGGAGUCAAGUCAUUUUUGCCCCUAAUAGAGGUAGGGUUCAGGACGUUUAAUCAAAUUUUAUUUUGUUUCUCUUUGCAGAGUUUUUGGGAUUUUUGACAAAAAAUGUUUUAAAAA